GCCUAUGAUGAUGACGUGGGUUUAUUUCGAAUCCUGAUUUCUGAUGGAUUCCUUUUAUCUGAGGCUAGAAUAUUGCAAUUUAUUCCUUUUAAACCAUUUAUUAAAUUAUUAAUUAAUUAUUAAGUUUUCAAGAAAAUUUAUCAAUUUAGUUAUAAAUAUAUAUAUGUAUGUAUUUUUGAUAAAGGAGGAAUUUAGAUAAAAAAAUAUAUUAUCUAUAUUAAAAGAAAACUAGUUUAUGGGUAAAUAUAUAUAUAUAUAUUAUGAUAUUGCAGCCUAUAAGUGGGUGUGUAGUUCCACUAUACACUUACGCGUAGCAAGCAAAGCGAGACAUGAUGACGUAGUCGAUGGCUUAGCUCGACGAAUUCCAUGACGCCAGAUUUGAAUAUUGCGCGGGCCAAGGCUCAGAUUCUCAGGAUUUUGUUCGAUCUUCUCCCCAGACUCGGACUUGAGUCAUCAUUUCCCAGGCGAGUAGACAGGAUAUGUUAUGAUUACCUUAUAUUAUGCACGUAUAUACUGUUUUAUUCAUAAAUAUUAUAACCUUGUAUAAAUUUUUAUAUGCAUAACUCGUACAUGAUUUUUAUAUGCGGAUCAUAGAAAAAUACUCUUAAAUGUUUCUAAUUUGCAUGAAAUAUUUUCAUCCUACUGGGAGAGACAUAAACUGAAAGAUACCCUAAUUGAUUUCUUGUUUUGAGAAUGUGAAUUAUUGAAUGAUAUGGUGUAUUUUAGGCACCACAUGAAAUGAUAAAUGAUUAUGACUUGUGCAUAAAUUAGGGUAUUAUUUGCAUUAUUAUUAGAGGACUAUCUAGUAGAUUCCCUGGUGACUCACAGCAGGAAAAGAUCAUGGUACUGUGAGGCUUGGCAUGCCAAGGCCAUGAGAGACACGGAUAGUAUGUUUCAGCACUGCUAUCACGUGGGCCUUUAUGAUGAUAUUGUGUGAUGAUGAUGUAUGUGCCGAUAUAUAUACUUGUGUGCAUGUGUAUAUAGGCGUUAGGCCAGUUUCUACUAGUGUGUCCUCAGAAUCAGUGCAUGCAUCUCAUACAAAAGUAUAGG